rnacentral:rRNA from 1 species
UACGAAGGGGGCUAGCGUUGUUCGGAUUUACUGGGCGUAAAGCGUACGUAGGCGGAUCGUUAAGUCGGGGGUGAAAUCCUGGAGCUCAACUCCAGAACUGCCUUCGAUACUGGCGAGCUUGAGUCCGGAAGAGGUGAGUGGAACUCCUAGUGUAGAGGUGGAAUUCGUAGAUAUUAGGAAGAACACCAGUGGCGAAGGCGGCUCACUGGUCCGGUACUGACGCUGAGGGGCGAAAGCGUGGGGAGCAAACAGG